GGGGAGCUUGCUCCUCCGGAUUAGUGGCGAACGGGUGAGUAAUACGUGAGCAAUGUGCCCUUGACUCUGGGAUAAGCGCUGGAAACGGCGUCUAAUACCGGAUACGACCCUCGGAGGCAUCUCCUGGGGGUGGAAAGAACUUCGGUCAAGGAUCAGCUCACGGCCUAUCAGCUUGUUGGUGAGGUAACGGCUCACCAAGGCGACGACGGGUAGCCGGCCUGAGAGGGUGACCGGCCACACUGGGACUGAGACACGGCCCAGACUCCUACGGGAGGCAGCAGUGGGGAAUAUUGCACAAUGGGCGCAAGCCUGAUGCAGCAACGCCGCGUGAGGGACGACGGCCUUCGGGUUGUAAACCUCUUUUAGCAGGGAAGAAGCGAAAGUGACGGUACCUGCAGAAAAAGCACCGGCUAACUACGUGCCAGCAGCCGCGGUAAUACGUAGGGUGCAAGCGUUGUCCGGAAUUAUUGGGCGUAAAGAGCUCGUAGGCGGUCUGUCACGUCUGCUGUGAAAACCCGAGGCUCAACCUCGGGCUUGCAGUGGGUACGGGCAGACUAGAGUGCGGUAGGGGAGAUUGGAAUUCCUGGUGUAGCGGUGGAAUGCGCAGAUAUCAGGAGGAACACCGAUGGCGAAGGCAGAUCUCUGGGCCGUAACUGACGCUGAGGAGCGAAAGCAUGGGGAGCAAACAGGCUUAGAUACCCUGGUAGUCCAUGCCGUAAACGUUGGGAACUAGAUGUGGGGACCAUUCCACGGUCUCCGUGUCGUAGCUAACG
rnacentral:rRNA from 1 species